GGGAGGAUUCCAGAGCGGCCAAAUGGGCCAGACUGUAAAUCUGGUGGCUUACGCCUUCGCAGGUUCGAAUCCUGCUCCUCCCA
rnacentral:tRNA from 1 species